rnacentral:rRNA from 1 species
AUUGAACGCUGGCGGCAGGCCUAACACAUGCAAGUCGAGCGGAUGACGGGAGCUUGCUCCUUGAUUCAGCGGCGGACGGGUGAGUAAUGCCUAGGAAUCUGCCUGGUAGUGGGGGACAACGUUUCGAAAGGAACGCUAAUACCGCAUACGUCCUACGGGAGAAAGCAGGGGACCUUCGGGCCUUGCGCUAUCAGAUGAGCCUAGGUCGGAUUAGCUAGUAGGUGAGUUAAUGGCUCACCUAGGCGACGAUCCGUAACUGGUCUGAGAGGAUGAUCCGUCACACUGGAACUGAGACACAGUCCGGACUCCUACGUGAGGCAGCAGUGGGGAAUAUUGGACAAUGGGCGAAAGCCUGAUCCAGCCAUGCCGCGUGUGAAGAAGGUCUUCGGAUUGUAAAGCACUUUAAGUUGGGAGGAAGGGCAGUAAGCUAAUACCUUGCUAUUUUGACGUUACCGACAGAAUAAGCACCGGCUAACUCUGUGCCAGCCGCCGCCGUAACAC